rnacentral:rRNA from 1 species
UACCAGCUCUCCGAGUGGUAGGGAUGAUUAUUGGGCUUAAAGCGUCCGUAGCCGGCUUAGCAAGUCUCCUGUUAAACUCAGCGACCUAAUCGUUGAUCCGCGGGAGAUACUACUAGGCUAGGAGGCGGGAGAGGUCGACGGUACUUCCGGGGUAGGGGUGAAAUCCUAUAAUCCCGGGAGGACCACCAGUGGCGAAGGCUGUCGACUAGAACGCGCUCGACGGUGAGGGACGAAAGCUGGGGGAGCGAACCGGAUUAGAUACCCGGGUAGUCCCAGCUGUAAACGAUGCGGGCUAGGUGUUGGGGUGGCUACGUGCCACUUCAGUGCCGCAGGGAAGCCAUUAAGCCCGCCGCCUGGGGAGUACGGCCGCAAGGCUGAAACUUAAAGGAAUUGGCGGGGGAGCACCACAAGGCGUGAAGCUUGCGGUUC